rnacentral:misc_RNA from 1 species
AUCCCAUUUCUACACAAGAAACAGAUCCACCCCCACAUAUCUGUCGUCCCUCCAAAUCCACCAUCUCCUCUAUCUUCCUUUCCCCCUUCUCCACAACCAACACUGAGGCCACUACCAAGAAAAAGAGCACCACAUUCAGAGGUUUAGGAUGCACAGCUGGGGCGGCGCGGCAGGUGUCGGUGCCGGCGGUGAUACGGUCAUCGGCGGAGUGGGAGGGGAAGAGGGUGAAAAAGAAAAAGAAUCCGCAGCAGCAAAAAAGGAAGAAGGAUAGUAUAAGGAUUUGCACCGAGAGUAAUAAGACGAGCCUGCAGAGUGUGGGUGAGGGGAAUAAUAGUAAUGGAAACAUCGAUAGUAACGGAAAUAGUGGGAGUUUCAAUUCUGGGAAUUGUAUGGUUAUUCAGGAUGUGUGGUGUGGGCCAGGAAUUGGGUUUUCUUCUGAUGCUGUUGUUGGGUCUGUGGAUUGUGUUGUGACGAGGAGAAAUGCGCCUGGGAGAGGGAAGAUUGAUGGGGACAACAAAAUCAAUCAAAGGGAGAGAGAGCGUGCUUCCUGUUUAGGGAGGCGGGCAACGGUGAAUCCUGAAACUCUUUCUUUUUUGGAUACGGACCCUGCUUUUGUAACAUCUCGCCCAGGACCUGAAGUCUUUGGAAGUAGAUAUUAUCGUCAUGUUCGACAUCCUUCCCCUGAUGGUUUAGCUGAGAUGAUGAUGCUCCAAAAUAGUUUCAUGAUGGGAGGAAGACAGGAUCGGUUUAGCGACUGGAGGCUUGACAUUGAUCACAUGUCAUAUGAGCAACUGCUGGAGUUAGGUGAGAGAAUUGGUUAUGUGAGUACUGGACUGAAAGAAGACGAGAUCAGCCGCUGUGUCAGGAAAAUGAAGCUCUCAAUUAUGAACGACCUUUCAUCACAUUUGCCCAUGAUUCUGGACAAAAAGUGCAGCAUUUGUCAGGAGGAUUAUGAAGCAGAUGAUGAGCUGGGGAAGCUGGAUUGUGGACAUGGCUUUCAUAUACAAUGUAUAAAGCAAUGGCUUGCACAGAAAAAAAUUUUCCCUUCACAGAAAAAUAUUUUCCCAGUCUGUAAGACUGAACCAGUGGCUCGAGGAUAGAGCCGGUAUUCUUCAUUAUCUUCGUGGGUGCAGGGCUUUCAAAUUGCUGCUCUUUACCCCUUCUCCUCCUCCCUCCCCCCCCCUCCCCAUGGUGUAUAGAUUUUACCAGUUUACAUAAAUGAUGCAUUCAUUCAUUGGUGUGAAGCUUCAAAUGUUCUAGCAGAAAUGAUAGGGCCCUUUUUCUGGGUAAUUUAUCAGGUUCAUGCGGAUUGAAGUUAUAGUAAUGGAAUUUGAUGGAAGUGAUUAAUUUUGAUACAUGGAUGAAUGGAACGUGUAAUAUAAGCAACACAUUUAUAAAGAUCUAAACUCAAUUCAACCG